rnacentral:sRNA from 1 species
UCCAAACUGCGCGAUGGGCUGUUAAAAGGGAUCUUGCGGUUCUGUUGCUAUUAAUGAGGGUAGUCAGUUCUUCGGGAUCCCUCCGGAUUCUGCCCCAACGCAUUUAAUACUCGACCUCUAUCACAUCUAUCCCCAAACUCACCGGCAACAGGAACUUCAUCGCCUGACGCCGCACUAUUCUCGUUUAUCUCUCCGAAUGAGGUGCCCGCCGUGUCCUCGAAGGAUUUGAGAAGGAACCCUAUAAGGGGAAAGUCACCGCCCUUCGGGGGAGUACGCUGGUGCAAAUCCUCCCUUUGGCUCCGACGUCAGUGAUGAGAAGGAACUCAACGAAAAGCAGCUGAACAAAUGGGACGAAUGGCAACGCCUGUGGGCAACGACCUUCAAAAAGGCGAUAUUUCCUGGCGCCUCAACACCCGCAUUCUACGUGAGAACGCCACUUCCCAAGAGAUACAAGCACACUUGACGCCUUCUCUACUCUACUCUCCGAAGGCAAGUCUGUUGGCCUCGACGUGGCCGACUGGGACCGUCGGGAGAAGUUCCUCCUCUCCCUGCCCAGAGAUCUCCAAUCCAACCUUCGAACCGGUCUUCGUGGUCGCUCAACCCAGACGUGGGCUGAGCUCUGCAGUCUCUUCAACGAAGAAAUCGACAUUCGGUCUCGCCAAGACCUCCGCAAUGUGCAAAUCAAUGCUGCAGCAAAGAUGGAAAAGAGGGGGGGGAGGACGACGACAGCAGGAUAAUGGAGAAAGGGGGCAAAGGUGGAAAGAAGCAUAAGAAAAAGAGAGGUGGAGAAGUGAAGACGUGUGGCUGGUGUGGGAUUUAAGGGUCACAAAGAGAAGGAGUGCCGCAAGAAGGCAGCUGGCGAUCCCCUCAGGCAGAGAUUCGACAGGCAGCGCAGCACAUCAGACAGCAGAAAUCUAGUCAGGGUCAGAGCGGCUCUGCCAGCUUCAUCGACGCCACAUCCUGGGGCUCUGCUCCUACUCUAUUCGACAACGACACCACCAACGCCUCGCCCUGCUUCAUACUUGGUACAUGGCAUCACACCAUGUCGCCAACAUUCGCUCGGCGCUUGUCAAUCUCCGUCCUGCCGAGGUCAUCAACUUCGGUCUUGUUGGCAUUAUGCACCAAUUCUCGUCUUACGAGGAGGGUGACUUACUCAUUCCUGUGGAAGACGGUAGUAUUCUCAUCAAGGGUAUUCGCUAUAAUCCCUGAUCCUAAAGCCUCACCUCUCGGCCAUGACUAUUGGGAUUAUAUCAUGGUCUAUGCUGCGAUGGUGCUCAACAAAACCACUGUUAAGCGUAUCCAGGGUAAGACAACAUGGAGGUUAUUACGGGCCAUCAGCCGGACCCCGACAAGAUCUAAGAGUUCGGUGACUUAGUCUUCGCACACAUACCUCCGGCCUCCGCUCUGUCAAAGCCGAGUUGACUACCCCGAAGGCUAGACUCGCUCGUAUCCUCGGUCAAGAUGAGAAUAUCACCGGUUAUAUAGUGUUGUUUGAGCACGACGGUUCGGUUCACCUCCUUGCCGAUGUCACUCCGGCAUCAGGUCUUGGCACAACUCUUGAGCCACUCAACUCGCUGUACGAAGUCCACCGUUCCGUCCGUCGCCAACCGUACUACAUCACCUAUUGCGACGAUAUUACUCAAGAAGGAGAAAGUCAAAGACAUUGAGAAGAAGGAUAUUGAGACGGAUAAGGAUCAGAAUAUGGGUAACUGAGCUCUAGGUGAUGGGGAAGGGAACAAGACCGCCCGGAAGUUUCUUCAACAGACGCAGUGGCAGUACAGUCCAACAGUAUCGCGUUCGGGGUGGUCCAACCCACCCACGCGGUACCCACACCCGUGUACCAUCUCUACUCGUAGCAGCACUCGUUUGCAGAAGGCUGACUAUCAUCAUGGCCCAAAUGCACGCGUCGCCUUCCUCGCAUCCGAAACUGCACUCGUACUUGCUGUCACUUCUGUGAACGGGCACUCUGCUUCUCUUACUGAGGCACUCUCCGGACCAGAUGGAGCACAAUGGCACGCAGCAAAGAAAACUGAGGUUCAUACUCUCCGGGCUAAGCAUACUUGGGAGGAAGUGACCGUUGUACUGCCUGAACGCAAGCUCAUCGGUUGCAAGUGGGUCUGCAAGCGCAAGGUCAAUGCGCAAGGUGAGGUCGUGCUCCACAAAAUGCGCCUCGUUGCCCAGGGAUUCUCUCAGCAGCCCGGACUGGAUUAUGAAGCGACUUUUGCCCCGGUUGGCUGCAUCGCCCCCCUGCGCCUACUCCUUAACAUUGCCGCCGCAUACGACCUAGAGCUCGUUCAAAGCAGACGUACAGGGCGCCUACCUCAACGGUAACCUCGACCACGAAAUUUACAUGCGACUUCCCAUUCAUUACAUCCCUCUCAAUCCCAACGCAAUCGCGCUUAAACUCAACAAAACACUCUACGGUCUCAAACAAAGUGGUAGAGAAUGGCGGAAGGUACUAGGGGGACGCUCGAGGCUCUAGGUUUCCAACGUUGCGAGAGCGAGUGGGGACUCCAUGUCGUCCCGGGGAACAACGCUCCCAAGGCGGUUAUGCUUGUCUACGUCGACGACUGGGUCAUUCCAGCACGUACCACUUCCACUAUCCAUGACAUUCUUAACCGAAUCUCUAGCAAAUGGACCCUCAGCUCUCUUGGUCCCACGACAUACGUCCUCGGCAUGCGGGUCACGCACGAUCGCCCUAACAAGACCAAUGUUCUGUCACAGGCUGCAUACAUCGAUAUUUUGCUCAAGCGUUUCCCGGGCUUCAGUGUCAUACCCUCUCAUAAGCUAGACGAAGACGACUUCGAAACUCGUGCGGUCCUCACGCCGUACUAAGAGCUCGUCGGUUCUUUACUCUGGCUUGCUGAUUGUACUCGUCCCGACAUCGUAUUUGCCGCCUCCUUCCUUGCUCGCUAUACUGCCUCGCCCACCGAAGGACACUGGCAACUCGCCCUCCGGGUCCUAUCCUACCUCUCCCACACCGACGCCUGGGAAUCACGCUAGGGGAGUCAAACCUACAAAAACCCUCGCAUGCCAUUCCGACGCUGAUUGGGCCGGCUGCGAGCAAACAACAAGGUCGACUUCCGGGUAUAUCACCUACUUCUGCGGUUCCCCCAUAAGUUGGUGCUCCAAACGCCAGCGAACCACGGCAUCUUCCACAAUGGAAGGCGAAUAUAUAGCCGCAUCAGAAGCCACUCGUCGGGCAGCCGGCGAAGACAAAUGAUAUCUUGUGUCUUCGAUCUCUAUGAACUUCAUCCCUAAUCAUUUCCGCAACAACUUCAUCCCUUCUCCUAUUUGCUACUUGAUCACCAAUGCCAGCGGCACGUUCAUCGAUAUUCAUCACCCCUUCCACCUCAGAUGUAGUCAGCGAGUCCUUCCAAGUCUCAACCAAAAGGUUAUGAAGAACCAUGCAGGCUCGAAUGCUAGGUACAAGCGGGCCUCGUCAGUUACUGUCCGGCAAGUAAGACGACAGUCUUGUAAAAUUUGCCAUCGGUUUUUCAGGAUACCGAAUGCCUGUUCAAUCAUCACUCGAGCUUUGGCACACUUGUGGUUAAAGUAGGCCUGGCAUGGGAUGAGUCAGUGGAAAUUCGGAUGGGAAAAGUCCCACCUUGGGUCCGACUGUGACCUGCGUCUUUCUCUCUCGCUUGAAUAGAGGUAUAACUGUGUCUGACGAUUUCAUACCAGCAUCACCAAACACAUAUUCCUUUGGAGAGAAGAACCGAUGGGGAUUUCUGUGCAGAUCUGAGAGAUCUUGGGCCAUCUGGUCGUUGGUAGCUGCAGAGAAGCCGAAACUGACGUAUCUAAAUCUCUUUAGAUGAUCGACCACAGCGAUCAUUUUAUAACCAUAUUUUUCCUUGUAGCUGUGCAUCGUAUGAGCUUUUCGCGUCCAAUUGAUGGUGCUUGGUGCAAGACAAUAUCGGUUCCGUCGAUGAAGCCGAUACACGACGGUAUUCCAUAUUGCGCGUACAAUUCACGGGCAAGGACAGAGCGUUCUUCCCCAGAGGGCCAAAAAACGUACUGCUUCAAAGAGGAUACGAUGGUUAUUAAUGAUCGAUCCGUAUAAUGAGAUACACUGCCAUCUGUCAUCCGAGUAUGCCUAUCAAUCCUGAAUGUGAACUCCAAGAACAACGAUUGAAGGUUUCCUUCAACUUGCGGGACAGAUUAAAUGAUUCUCCACGGUGCUCAUUCUCUUGCCUCCUGUCAUUCUGUAAAUGUAUGUUGCCAGCUGCACCUCCGGCGGUGCCUGAGGCUUCCUCCCCUGCGAUUUGAAAACUUCGUGACCUCCAAACAAGGCUACAAAGGCUCGUGAACUCUGCAUGGUCCAGAUGUAGGGUCUUGAUCAUCUUGUCAUCGGUAGAUGGUGAAGGGAGAACCUCAGAAAAAGAUAAUCGUGGUUCUCAUAAUGAGAACUAUGAGGAAGCCGCUCAUACUAACGGCUGUUUUCGUAUUUUUGGCGUAAGGAAAGAAGAAGUCGGAUUUGUGUUUGAACGAAAGAGCUGGAUUCGUAAGGUACCAAACUAGAGAUACGAUCGUCGAUUUCACGCAAAGCCUCCUAUUUCCUGCUGAGAUGGGGCAUUGAUGGUAUGGUGCAACGAUAUCGCUUGGCCUUGUAUUACUCUUUGAAGCGACUUUUGAUUACAAAGAAGAGACUCAUGCUCCAAAUUCCAGUGCGUCGUUCGAAGCCCCACUGCUGAGAACGCGGACAUGGGCGGAAUUAAACCAGUCCAAAUAACUGUACGUGACUUCAUUCAAGGGUCAGUCAAUUGUUCCAGGUUUCGUUGAGAUUUUGUCCCGUGGCGCGGUUUGAGAAUUGAUUACCCUCACAGUAAUCGGCACGCCUGAUCAGGACGGGCGGCCAGGAGGAUUCUUUGCGUUUUCACUGCCACUGAUGGUAUGUAAGGGAGGUUUGUGAAAGGAUGAUUGGGGUAGAACGGGUAGCAGAUCGGUGUGGGAUAAGGUCCGCAGAGCCUUUGAGAAAACCAGUUCGCUGAUGGGAGCAUCCCAGCCAGGAUCCGCAAGCACAUGCUGGGAGGUAAUCUGUCCAGAAUAAAGGUUAUCCAUCCUUGCAGUGGAUAUCGGGAUAAUCUCCAUCUUAAGCAUCUCUACAGCCCUGGUGAUCAAUGAGACCUGAUAGUAGGUUGAACGGCCUAUAGUAUUGGUAUAAUCGAUAAAUGUAGCUUCCUUGUCUUUGUUCAGGUCACCAGCGGAUGGCAAGGGAUAGUAAGAGGAGGGUUAUGAAGGUAGUUGGCUUUGCCAUUUCGUUAUAUCUGCAGAAUGAAAGUUAACAUUUAGGCCACAAGUAGAUGUAAUAUACUCACACUGUUUCUGAUCCUGCUUCUCGACGACCUUGAGCAAAGGAUCCAAACUCCUCUGUU